AGCAGCUUAAGGAACUCGGUAAAUGCUCAAUGCCAAGUUUGGGGCAUGUGGUGGAGCAGCAACUGACUCAAUCUUCAUGCUCUGAGGGCCCUCCUGAUCUAGAAAGGAGAAAUCAAAAAGACACGACAUGUGGGACUGACCUGUCUGUUUCCCGAUUUAAUUUAGACAAAGCAUUGGUGAACACUGAGCAGUUAGAAAAGAUUGAAGAUAUUGAAAUUCAAGAUGAUGAUGUCUUCCUCAUCACCUAUCCAAAAUCUGAAGUGGAAGGUGUUACCCUGGAGACAUGAAGACAGAAAAUCAUUAUUCACCUUCAUUACCCUGGAACAAGCCUUGCCUCUCUUCAAGUCCCUUCUGCAUAAACUGCCUAAGUACCCGAAGAAGUAACAGAAUACUGCCCAGAGUUCAACACUCACAACGAACCCAGAAAACACAGCAUAUUGAAGAUGUAUGGACACAACUGGACUGUGUCUCUACACAUGGAGCAAAACUUUUCCAUCUCCUCAUAACCUUGUUGGGCACACCAGUUCCCACAAACCAGGAAUAUCUUCAAUCAACUCUUAGGCUGCCUCACCGCACUCUGGACCCAUCUGCUUAUACACAACAUGCUAGCCUCACUCUGGCUAGAGAGGAUCUGGGAACAGCCAGGAUUCCUUGACCACCAUAGACCCAGCACCCACCUCUAUAUGGACUGAUCAAGGUACAAUGUUCUGGGACAAGAGCACUAAGGACAUGAAGGAGAAGAGGAGGAACAGGAGAUCUCCAUAGCAGGAAUGAAAGCUAGAGACUUCUAGGUGAACCAUCUGUCCUGGAAACUCCUUGUCUAAUCAACAAUUCACAAUGCUGGUCUCCUGUGACCACAGGCUAGACCUGCCCUCGGGUAUUCUGUGAUGUAUGCAAUGACUAAACCAGAGCAAUUCCACUUUAGACAACAGCAACCUUGAUCUCAGUUACUCCGUCUUGAAUACAAAUGCCAAGAAAAAUGACGCAACAUGUCUUGUUCAUAACCACACGACAACCCCCAUCUGUCAGCACAUCUGGAGGGACAAACUGAUAAAAUGGAAUCCCCUCAGAUCAAAGCAGAGCCCCACGACUGAUAUGUGUCAGGCACACUGUCGGUGAUGGGUUCCUGCCUCUUUCUACGCUUCAGCUCACGUCUUUCCCUGCCCAUGACCUUCAGGCUAUGUUCAAUGGAACCUGGAAUGGCCUGUCACUGGGACUUGGAUUUGACAUCUCUAAUCCUGAACAUCUCUGUACUGGAAGGUCCUAAGCCUCCCAAGGAUUCUUUGUCUGCACCUUCAUCAGCCCUUUGCCUGGACUUCAGGAUAGUCUCUCAACACUGCAGACUCUAACACUUUCUUAUCCGUUCUUUAAGCUGCAUAUAUGCAUACUGUUGUGGAAUGUCUCAGGGGUGAUGUGAGAGCUAAUAUUUCUAACUAAGAUUAGAAUAAAAUAAUCUGUGUGACUGGUAAGAUGGCUCAAUAGAUAAAGUGUUCUGAAUCUUAUCUCUAGGACUCAUCCACCAAUUCCAGUAAGUCUUCUCUGACUUACAGGUGUCACGUAGCAUGCCUAUGCAGAGAGAGACAAAAGAAGUAAAACUUUUUAAUUAAAAAAAUUUAAUUAAAUGUAUUCACCAAUGGACAGCU